UGAAAAGGCAAACUUAUCUAAAGAUAAGGACGCAAAGCUACGGGUCUAAGGCCUGCAUACGAAGAAAACUACAUAUUUAAUGGCUACGAUCGCCGGGCUGC
rnacentral:ncRNA from 1 species